UAUUCUCAACACUAUUAAACAGUGCUCUAAAAGAUUGAAAAUCUAAUGUGCUAUCUACACCAUAAGAAC
rnacentral:tRNA from 1 species